AUCCUAAGAGUCGGGGGAAA
rnacentral:snRNA from 1 species